rnacentral:rRNA from 1 species
UACGUAGGUGGCAAGCGUUGUCCGGAUUUACUGGGCGUAAAGAGCGCGCAGGCGGUUGAUUAAGUCGAAUGUGAAAGCCCCCGGCUCAACUGGGGAGGGUCAUUCGAUACUGAUCGACUUGAAGGCAGGAGAGGGAAGUGGAAUUCCGGGUGUAGUGGUGAAAUGCGUAGAUAUCCGGAGGAACACCAGUGGCGAAGGCGACACGCUGGGCCGUACCUGACACUGAUGCGCGACAGCAUGGGGAGCAAACAGG